ACAUGCAAGUCGAACGAAGUAGCAAUACUUAGUGGCAGACGGGUGAGUAACAUGUAGGUAUCUGCCCUUUGGCCUGGAAUAACACGAGGAAACUUGUGCUAAUACCGGAUAAGUCUUUACGGAGAAAGCUUUAUGCACCAUUGGAUGAGCCUGCACUUGAUUAGUUUGUUGGUGGGGUAAUGGCCUACCAAGACUGUGAUCAAUAGCUGAUUUGAGAGGAUGAUCAGCCACAUUGGGACUGAGACACGGCCCAAACUCCUACGGGAGGCAGCAGUGGGGAAUCUUGCACAAUGGAGGAAACUCUGAUGCAGCGAUGCCGCGUGAGUGAAGAAGGCCUUUGGGUUGUAAAGCUCUUUCGUCGGGGAAGAAAAUGACUGUACCCGAAUAAGAAGGUCCGGCUAACUUCGUGCCAGCAGCCGCGGUAAUACGAAGGGACCUAGCGUAGUUCGGAAUUACUGGGCUUAAAGAGUUCGUAGGUGGUUGAAAAAGUUGGUGGUGAAAUCCCAGAGCUUAACUCUGGAACUGCCAUCAAAACUUUUCAGCUAGAGUAUGAUAGAGGAAAGCAGAAUUUCUAGUGUAGAGGUGAAAUUCGUAGAUAUUAGAAAGAAUACCAAUUGCGAAGGCAGCUUUCUGGAUCAUUACUGACACUGAGGAACGAAAGCAUGGGUAGCGAAGAGGAUUAGAUACCCUCGUAGUCCAUGCCGUAAACGAUGUGUGUUAGACGUUGGAAAUUUAUUUUCAGUGUCGCAGCGAAAGCGAUAAACACACCGCCUGGGGAGUACGACCG
rnacentral:rRNA from 1 species